GGCAAUUCCUGAGCACAGGAGUCAAGCUAGGCCAGGAACUAGUCCCAGCAGAAACUGUGGAGAAGGCCAUGCUCUUUUGGAAGCUGAGAAUGGACAGAUGCACUCCAUGCAGUUGAAGCUUCAGAAAAUGAAUUGCAGACCAGCUCUCUUUUGAACUGAGACUUUGGUUCCUUUUGAAUGACAACCCUGCCUUCCAGCAUGUCAGCAGCUUCCUCCAGUUUGGUGUGAUGGAAGCUAAGGAUGCCUUUCCUCACAGCACUCAGGUGGCUGUUAGAUAUACUGUCCCAGAACUGAAUCACAGAACACACUCAUCAUUGGCCCCCAGCUGUCCUUUGCACCACUGAGUACAACCCUCCAAGCACAACAGUCCAGCAGAUCUUCCCACCAACCCUGUGUCCAUCCAUCUCCUCACAUCUCCUCAGCUCUGAGGACACUGUGAUAGAAGACGUCCAAAGCCUUAUGGAAAUCAAGCACAGAGGAAACCAAUUCUGCUUUCUGCACACCUUCUCCACCAGCAGCCACGGAGAUCUGCCAAGUGCAGACUGAAAGGGAAUCUCUCACCCAGUAGCUCAUCAGAGAAGAUCACAACCAUCAGCCAGUUGAG